UCCAGGAAGUGUAUAUGCGGGUAUCCUCGGCAUACCCAACACUCGAUAUCUGCCGGUACUGCUAGUAGGAGGGUUCUGAGACGCGACCCAUAGUCUCAGCUCCUCAUCCUGAUCUAAUACAAUAUCGGGAAGAGGGGUGGCGGAAUCUAAUGGCUCAGAACCCCUCCUAAUAGUCUCUAGCUCAGCUAUACGCUCGUCCCGAAGCUUCUGAAAUCGGUCCUGUAAUGUAUUCCGUAUACGUAUGUUAAUUAUAUCAUUUUAUUUACGAUUGAAUAUUAUUAAAAGCUAAAUAGUAAGAUAAGUUUUACCCGUAUAGCUAAAGCUGCCUGAGACAAAGCACGCUCGUCCUUAGGCGUGUGGGCUCGAUCCCAAAACUCUAGCAUGGUAGGAUCUCGGCCCAAGGUCCUCCCCAAUGCCUAAUACAAACAUUCAUAAAUCAGGUCUUAAGUAUUUGUGUGAAAACUUGACACAUAAAUAACUAAAUACAACGCACUUACCGUCUUCGCCUCCUCGAACGACUGAGAACCAGUGGUGUGUACUAUCCGGAGCUGACCACGG
rnacentral:lncRNA from 1 species